rnacentral:rRNA from 2 species
AGUAACGGCGAGUGAAGCGGUAACAGCUCAAAUUUGAAAUCUGGCCUCACGGUCCGAGUUGUAAUUUGUAGAGGAUGCUUCGAGCAUGGUCUGGCCUAAGUUCCUUGGAACAGGACGUCAUAGAGGGUGAGAAUCCCGUAUGCGGCCAGGUGCCUACGCUCAUGUGAAGCUCCUUCGACGAGUCGAGUUGUUUGGGAAUGCAGCUCAAAAUGGGUGGUAAAUUUCAUCUAAAGCUAAAUAUUGGCCAGAGACCGAUAGCGCACAAGUAGAGUGAUCGAAAGAUGAAAAGCACUUUGGAAAGAGAGUUAAACAGUACGUGAAAUUGUUGAAAGGGAAGCGCUUGCAACCAGACUUGCGCGCGGCCGAUCAUCUGGUGUUCUCACCAGUGCACUCGGCCGUGCUCAGGCCAGCAUCGGUUUUGGCGGCUGGAUAAAGGCCUUAGGAAUGUAGCUCCUCUCGGGGAGUGUUAUAGCCUAGGGUGCAAUGCAGCCUGCCGGGACCGAG